UACGUAGGGACCAAGCGUUGUUCGGAUUUACUGGGCGUAAAGGGCGCGUAGGCGGCAAUUCAAGUCAUCUGUGAAAUCUCCGGGCUUAACCCGGAACGGUCAGGUGAUACUGUUUUGCUAGAGUGCGGAAGGGGCAAUCGGAAUUCUCGGUGUAGCGGUGAAAUGCGUAGAUAUCGGGAGGAACACCUGUGGCGAAAGCGGCUCACUGGACCACAACUGACGCUGAGGCGCGAAAGCGUGGGGAGCAAACAGGG
rnacentral:rRNA from 1 species